rnacentral:misc_RNA from 1 species
UAUGGAGGGAAGUGAUACUGAGAGGAUGGAGAAAUACGAAGUGUAUUUUUAGCUAAUUAUGAGUUAAACGUGAUGGAAUGUAAGCCGAGCACGUCGUCGGGAGGGUUGAAAAGACAUUUGGAGGACGAAGAAAUUAAAUAUGAUGGCACGUGCAAACGUAUUUGCACGUGCCAUCAUAUUGCACAUGUAAACGUAUCUAAUCACACGUGUAAAUGUAUUUGCACAGAGCAUGCUUCCAUGCUUUGCAUGCUUGAUUCGAAGGUAUCGGAUGAAGAAACGUUUAUAAGUGAUAUUAAUGCUAUAAGUAAAUGCCCAGUCGAUUUGACAAGUAUAGAAAAUUUGUGCUUGUCAGGACAGUUUAAUCAGCUGCAGUCAAAUGAUACUCAGAUGAUAGCAAGUUUAACAUCUCAACCAUAUAUUGGAUUAAUGGAAAAGGAGAAACUACUAGUGUUGCUGGAAUUUUUAUUGAGAUUACAUAAAUCUGAAAAGUUAGAUAGUUUGAAAUUUCAAGAAAAAAGUAAAGCAUGGUCUGUUACCCAGUUAAAGAAACUUUUUUGCUUCCCAUUGACAGUUCUGAAAGAGAAGAAUUAUAUUCAUCCUUUAACUUUACAAGUUGCAAUCACUAAACUUGUCUUGAAUAUAUCUAAGAAUGUAUGUAAUGAUAAAAUACAGAAGUUACCAUCAGAAGUUAUUCAGAUAUUAUGUUCUAUGAGUAAUAUUAUGAUUAAAAUGCCUUUAAAGUUAUCAACUGAUUUUAUAGAAUCCAUAAUUUCCAUUAUUUAUGCAAUUAAUUUGAAGCAACCAAAUAUAGAAGAAACAGUUCAUUAUAUUGGUAAAUAUAUUUUUAAAGAAUUAUCUGUCAAAAAUAAUAUGAGUACUAUAACUCUUGGUAAACUUUAUUUGCUUAAUCCAAUAUUAUUAGAAGAAACAGUUUUAAAUGUUUUGAAAGAAGAAAAGUUCAAUGUCUGUGUUAAAAUGAAUGAAUAUAAAUUGCCAGAAACUGCUGCUCAUCAUCCAGUUCUAUUUCAAAAAAUUGUAAAUAUGUUUAUAUCAGCUUGGAUUUAUACUGAUGGAAAUAAGGAGAUUGCUGAAUUUUUAUCAAAAUUUGUUUACUCUGUGCAAAAUAACAACAUUGAAUUGAUAUCAUUGUUUCCUGAAAACUUGUGGCCAUUAAUUUUGUUACUUCAAACUCCAGCAACAGACAUUCCAUUCAAUCUUCGAAAUGCUCAUGCAUUUUCUAUCAGUAAUAGCUUACGUGAAAUGAUGCAAAAGCACACUUGCUGUAUUCAAGACAUCAUAAUUUUAUUGUUGAUAUUUACAUCUUGGUAUACUGUUUUACAUAAUAAUGAGAUGUUCAGAGAGAUUAUACACUGGCAUCCAAAGGAUAUUUCAUUCAAGAUACAAUAAACUUUAAAAAGUAUAUUUUUAUGUCCAAUUUUUCGACGACAACAAAACUGCUUUAUUUCAUUGUUAUUAACAGAAUGGUUAUAAUAAGUUAAGAGGAUAUGUAUUAUGUAUAAAUAAGGAGAUACAUUUACCAGUUUGAGCCAAUAUAAUCAAAUAUGUAUAUAAAGUAAACCAACUAUUUUUAACCAGUAAGUUACUCAAUAGAAAGCAAACACUUUUUGAUCACUUUCAAUGAGUGUAUUUGAUGCACUCAAAGAAUUAAAAUAUGCAUUAUUGAAAACAUUUUUUUCCCUCUGUUAAACAACUUAAUUCCAGUUGUAAUUAUUUAUUUUGUGAUUAAAUCAUUUGAUGGAUCAAUAUUUUUCUUAAACUUUUCAAAUAAACUUAUUUCUGUUGAUUUUAAUAUCUCUAUUGAUAAGUAAACUACUAUAUAUUUAUUCAUUAUUGCAUUUAUUUGGUCGAAAUGUUUAGAAUAUCAAAUUUUAAA